CUCCCAUCUCGGCUUCCCAAAGUGCUGAGAUUACAGCGUGAGCCACUGCACCUGGCCCUUUUUAGGAUGUUCUAUAUGUAAGAUAAUGUCAUUGGCAAACAGAAACAGUUUUACUUUUUUUCUAUUUUCUGCCUUCUAAUCUUUGCCAUCUCUAAUGUAUGUUUCUGUCUUUCUUGCAGAUGGAACAGAUUUGGAGUUGAGGCUGGUCAAUGGAGACGGUCCCUGCUCUGGGACAGUGGAGGUGAAAUUCCAGGGACAGUGGGGAACUGUGUGUGAUGAUGGGUGGAACACUACUGCCUCAACUGUUGUGUGCAAACAGCUUGGAUGUCCAUUUUCUUUCGUCAUGUUUCGUUUUGGACAAGCCGUGACUAGACAUGGAAAAAUUUGGCUUGAUGACCCACAGGCCCCACCUUGAAUACUGGGGAAUCACAUUUCAACCUCAGAUUCGGAGGGGACAAAACAUCCAAACCCUAUCAGGGGA
rnacentral:lncRNA from 1 species